rnacentral:rRNA from 1 species
UACGAAGGGGGCAAGCGUUGUUCGGAAUUACUGGGCGUAAAGGGCGCGUAGGCGGCUUAUCAAGUCAGGCGUGAAAUUCCCGGGCUCAACCUGGGGGCUGCGCUUGAUACUGAUUGGCUUGAAUGCGGGAGAGGAUAGUGGAAUUCCCAGUGUAGAGGUGAAAUGCGUAGAGAUCGGAAGGAACAUCAGUGGCGAAGGCGACUGUCUGGACAGAUACUGACGCUGAGGCGCGAAAGCGUGGGGAGCAAACAGG